UACAGAGACCUCAAGCGUUAUCCGGAAUCAUUGGGCGUAAAGCGUACCGAUAGGUGGCUUACAAAGUCAGAAGUGAAAUCCUAAGGCUUAACCUUGGGAAUGUCUUUUGAAACUUGUAAGCUAGAGGGGCAAAGAGGAAGCUGGAACGAACGGUUUAGUAGUGAAAUGCGUUGAUAUCGUUCGGAACACCAAUAGCGUAGGCAGGCUUCUGGGUGCCACCUGACACUGCUAGGACGAGAGCGUGGGGAGCGAAUGGG
rnacentral:rRNA from 1 species